rnacentral:lncRNA from 1 species
UUUGUAUAGGAUUUUUGUAGAAUUUGACCAAGAUUUGUGUAGAAUUCUUAUAGAAUUUGUCUAGGAUUUGAUUAGGAUUUGUCUAAGAUUUGUCUAAAAUUUGAUAAGGAUUUUUCUAGGAUUUUAUUAGAAUUUAUUUAGGAUUUGAUUAGGAUUUGUCUAAGAUUUUACUUAUAUUUGACUAAUAUUUUUUUAGUAUUUAUAUAGGAUUUGAUUAGAAUUCAAUUAGGAUUUAUUUAAUAUUUAUUUGUUUUUUUAUAAUUUAUUUAAAAAUUUAAUUUUACUAAAUCAAUAUUUGAUUAUAUUAUUUAAGCUUUAUUAUAAUUUAUAUACGAUUUUAUUAAAUUUUUUAGGACUUAUUGUUGUAAUUUUCUUUUAUCUUAUAUAGCUAAGUACUUGGCACAUUCUCAAGCAAGUCUCUUCCAAGAUUAUGAUAUCAAAUACAUUGUAUUUUUCCAUCU